GAUGAACGCUGACAGAAUGCUUAACACAUGCAAGUCUUUGGCGAAGCUGUGCUUGCACAGCCUAGCCAAGGCGGACGGGUGAGUAACGCGUAAGGAACUUGCCCUGCAGUCAGGGAUAACAGACGGAAACGACUGAUAAGACCUGGUAAAGUCAGGCGGACUCAUGUCCAGCCUGAUGAAAAGAGAUGCUGCAGGAGAGCCUUGCGUCCUAUUAGCUUGUUGGUGGGGUAACGGCCCACCAAGGCGAUGAUAGGUAGCCGGCCUGAGAGGGUGGACGGCCACAAGGGGACUGAGAUACGGCCCUUACUCCUACGGGAGGCAGCAGUGGGGAAUAUUGGACAAUGGGGGCAACCCUGAUCCAGCAAUUCUGUGUGAACGAUGAAGGUUUUCGGAUUGUAAAGUGAUUUCAGCAGGGAGGAAAAAAAUGACGGUACCUGCAGAAGAAGCGACGGCUAAAUACGUG
rnacentral:rRNA from 1 species